CCUACGGGAGGCAGCAGUGGGGAAUUGUUCGCAAUGGGCGCAAGCCUGACGACGCAACGCCGCGUGGAGGAUGAAGGUCUUCGGAUUGUAAACUCCUGUUGCCCGGGACGAAUGGCUCCAACCUAAUACGUUGGAGUGUGACGGUACCGGGUGAGGAAGCCCCGGCUAACUCUGUGCCAGCAGCCGCGGUAAUACAGAGGGGGCAAGCGUUGUUCGGAAUUACUGGGCGUAAAGGGCGCGUAGGCGGCCUGCUAAGUCGAACGUGAAAUCCCUGGGCUCAACCCAGGAACUGCGUCCGAUACUGGUUGGCUUGAAUCCGGGAGAGGGAUGUGGAAUUCCAGGUGUAGCGGUGAAAUGCGUAGAUAUCUGGAGGAACACCGGUGGCGAAGGCGACAUCCUGGACCGGCAUUGACGCUGAGGCGCGAAAGCCAGGGGAGCAA
rnacentral:rRNA from 1 species